AGAGCGAACGCUGGCGGCAGGCUUAACACAUGCAAGUCGAACGGUAACAGGCCUAGCUUGCUAGGUGCUGACGAGUGGCGGACGGGUGAGUAACGCGUAGGAAUCUGCCCUAUAGUGGGGGAUAACACUGGGAAACUAGUGCUAAUACCGCAUAAUCCCUGAGGGGGAAAGGCUUCGGCCGCUAUUGGAUGAGCCUGCGUCAGAUUAGCUAGUUGGUGGGGUAAAGGCCUACCAAGGCGAAGAUCUGUAGCUGUUCUGAGAGGAAGAUCAGCCACACUGGGACUGAGACACGGCCCAGACUCCUACGGGAGGCAGCAGUGGGGAAUAUUGGACAAUGGGCGCAAGCCUGAUCCAGCAAUGCCGCGUGUGUGAAGAAGGCCUUAGGGUUGUAAAGCACUUUCAGGGGGGAGGAAAGGCACGUAAGUGUUUUGACGUUACCCCAGAAGAAGCACCGGCUAACUCUGCGCCAGCAGCCGC
rnacentral:rRNA from 1 species